rnacentral:rRNA from 1 species
AUCAAAAACAUCGCCUUUUGUAAGAAUAGAAGGUCUAACCUGCCCACUGAAAAGUUUAAAGGGCCGCGGUAUUUUGACCGUGCAAAGGUAGCAUAAUCAUUAGUCUUCUAAUUAAAGGCUGGUAUGAAUGGUUGGACGAGGUGUUAACUGUCUCACUGAAAUUCAUUUAUAAUUUAAUUUUUUAGUCAAAAAGCUAAAAUAUUAUUAGAGGACGAGAAGACCCUAUAGAGCUUUAUAUUAAAAAUAUUUCAUUUGUUUGGGUAAUUUAAAAAGUGAUAGUAAUAAUAUUUCAUUGGGGUGAUGGGGAGAUAUAAUAAACUCUCUUUAUUGUUAACAUUAAUAUAUGAAUGUUUGAUCCAUUUUUAAUGAUUAUAAGACUAAGUUACCUUAGGGAUAACAGCGUAAUCUUUUUCAAGAGUUCUAAUCGACAAAAAGGGUUGCGACCUCGAUGUUGGAUUAAGGGUUAUUUUUGGGUGCAGAAGCGAAAGUUGGGUC